CCUACGGGGGGCAGCAGUGGGGAAUUUUGCUCAAUGCUCGUAAGAGUGACGCAGCGACGCCGCGUGAAUGACGAAGGCCUUCGGGUCGUAAAGUUCUUUCGACAGGGAAGAAAAUGCCUAUAAGUAACUGUGUAUGUAUUGACGGUACCUGUAUAAGCAGCCCCGGCUAACUCCGUGCCAGCAGCCGCGGUAAUACGGAGGGGGCGAGCGUUGUUCGGAGGGACUGGGCGUAAAGAGCACGUAGGCGGUGUUGUAAGUCAUUAGUCAAAGACUAGAGCUCAACUUUAGUAAGGCUAGUGAUACUAUAAUACUAGAGUAUCAGAGAGGAUUGCAGAAUUCCUGGUGUAGCGGUGAAAUGCGUAGAUAUCAGGAGGAAUACCGUUAGCGAAGGCGGCAAUCUGGCUGGAAACUGACGCUGAGGUGCGAAAGCGUGGGUAGCAAACAGGAUUAGAUACCCCAGUAGUC
rnacentral:rRNA from 1 species